GGUUGAUGAAAGUUUAACUUUGGAUGAGAGAGGGAUAGUUGAUUGGACUAAGUUGCCUAAUGAUACAGUAAUCCAGCUAUUUUCGUGUCUGAACUAUCGUGAUCGAGCAAGCAUGUCAUCCACCUGCCGCACUUGGAAUAAUUUAGGUGUAUCACCAUGCUUAUGGCAGGGUUUGGAUCUUCGUCCACAUAAGUGUGAUUCUGCUGCUGCUGUUUCUCUUUCCCCUAGGUGUAGGAAUCUUCAGAAACUUCGAUUUCGUGGUGCUGAAUCUGCGGAUGCAAUAAUACAUCUUCAGGCUAAGAGUUUGAAUGAGAUCAGUGGCGAUUACUGCCGCAAGAUCACAGAUGCUACAUUGUCUGUAAUUGCUGCCCGACAUGAGUCACUUGAAAGUUU
rnacentral:misc_RNA from 1 species